rnacentral:lncRNA from 1 species
CUUAGUGCCAGGAAUGGGUUACUUCUUUUGUAGUAAAUAUAUUUAAAAAAAAUCUUAGUAUUAUAAUAAAAACAACCGAAGGAAAUAACUUAAACAAAUGAUUCUAUCCCAAUUUCUAAAUUUGUUCCAAAAUCUUAGAUGCUGAAGCAAAAUUUAGCCUGAGGCAAACCUCAUUUUAAAAGCAUUAUUCGUCAGAGCCUGUCAGCGUGUGUCAGAGUCUUGCUACAGUGUUGUGAGUCGUCACUAUCUUAAUUAAAGCUUGGCAUCGCAGUUCUAAAUCAGCACAAGGAGUUCAGGAUUCUGGUGGAACAGAUUUGAGAUGGACCGUUAAAACUUGUGAGGGAAUUUCACGAACGGCUGUUUGUCUUUCAAAAGAGAAGCAUCUUAAAAGUAAAGUUUGGGAGAAAUCUACUAUGAGACCGCAGCUUGGUAACAUCGGUGUGGUGCUGAGGAAUGUGUGGUUAUAGAAGAUGAAACGAUUCAACGAUUCUUGAAGGAAGAAGAAAGAAGGCGGAGAGUGGAAUGCCACUCUCUGGGAAGAGGGCUGGUGAAAGGUGAGAGAUAAAGAAAACAGUGACACUUGAGAGAGAGUUCUAGAUAAGAAUUAGAGGGGAGCAGGGUGGAGGGGCUGAUAAGGCUUUUAAAAUUAGGGCACAGAGAUAAAGUUUAUUGUAAACGGAGGAACAGAUCAAAAAGAGAGAAAAUGAAAAGCUG